rnacentral:misc_RNA from 1 species
AAAGUCGUAACAAGGUUUCCGUAGGUGAACCUGCGGAAGGAUCAUUACCGAGCAAACCUCUUUCUCUUCGGAGAGGAGGUGAACCUCCCAACCCUUUGUUUAUUUGACCUCUUGUUGCUUCGGUGGACCGGCAGCUCUACAUCCCUGAGAAAUCAGGAUCUUUGCCUGCCGCCGGCUUGACCGCUGGAAAGUUUUCGUCCACCGAUGGCUCAUACCUAAAUUCUUGUACCGAAACGUGUCGUCUAAAACAUUUUGUGAUUUUAUAAUCAAAACAAAACUUUCAACAACGGAUCUCUUGGUUCUG